AAAGAAACAAAACAAAGCAAGGUAGGAAAUGAGCCUCCUCAAAAUCAAAAUAAGCACGACCGACUGGAGUGAAAUGAGCCCCUGUGUGUUACAAUGGGAAGUACACCCCACCCAUGCCGUGCUCUUACCGACGUGUUUAACCCGAAUUCAGUCAGAGAAAAGAGAGAGAUGUGGACGGUGGAAUAUAGAACGUGCCACAGCCAAAAUGGCAUAGAUUCUUCAAAAACGUCAAUGUCAAGAAAAGACAAACAGCUGGAG
rnacentral:lncRNA from 1 species